CUGGUGCUAAGCCCCCAACGUGAGGCCUUCCCGGCUCCUCACCUAAGGUUUCCCAACCACACACAUGCCCAACAUGACCCCUGCCAGAGCCCCCUGUCCACCCUCGUGCCUCUUACCAAAAAGAAGUCAUUUCCCAAAACCCAGGGCCUUUCCCGGGCUGACAGGUCAGUCACCGUCUCUGUGUGUGCCAUGUUCACAUCCUUAGGGAGCCCCUGGCUCACAUCUCCUCGUGGUACCAAGCAGAUGGUAGGAGAGCUUCAGAGUCUUCUACCUUCUUGCUGCUCUUUGGCACGUUACCAUAUGGCCUCCAAAGCUCCAGAGCAAACUCUGACCCUUCACAGAAUCUGACCCCAGCCCUUCAGCUCUGAUGGUUCCUUUGGCCAUAGCUCUCCCUAACACAGUCCCAUUUCCUUUUGGUGUCCUCUGACGAUUCCUCACCCCUUUCUCUUGCAUCGCCCCCUUGUUAACUGUUUUCUUUAUUUUUCAAUACUCUCUUAUCGGCUCCUCACCCCCAGACCCCUUGGCUCCCUCCCCUGUUCCUGUCUCCAUCUCUUUUCGUCUCCAUUCCGAUGCCCCUGACCAUUCCCUCUGCCCCCAAGGCCUCCAGACACUUCUUUCAGCACAGCCCACUGAUCACUACCACAGCUCACCUCUGCAAAACGACACCCAGGGAGAAAACAUCAACAAUAUUGUCAACCUUGUGACAGUUUUGUUUUCCUGUCAAACACUCCUGGUGCCUUUCAUUUAAAUAGAUUCUUUGACAGAUAUAUCUUAGUAGGUUCCCUUUCAGGGGAAAAAAAAUGUACAUUUUUAAAAUUUUUAGUUUUAGUUUAUGUUCUAAGUCUCAUAAAACACUGCUAUUAGGUCCUACGGGUAAAGAAAUGUUUUGGGUUUUUUUGUUUUUUGGCUUCAUGGUCAUAAGCAAAGUGU
rnacentral:lncRNA from 1 species